rnacentral:piRNA from 1 species
UUGGAGAGGCUGGAGCAUCUGAU